UACGUAGGGGGCUAGCGUUGUCCGGAAUCAUUGGGCGUAAAGAGCGUGUAGGCGGCCCGGUAAGUCCGCUGUGAAAGUCGGGGGGCUCAACCCUCGGAUGCCGGUGGAUACUGUCGGGCUCGAGUACGGAAGAGGCGAGUGGAAUUCCUGGUGUAGCGGUGAAAUGCGCAGAUAGUCAGGAGGAACACCUAUUGCGAAGGCAGCUCGCUGGGACGUUACUGACGCUGAGACGCGAAAGCGUGGGGAGCAAACAGG
rnacentral:rRNA from 1 species